GAUGAACGCUGGCGGCGUGCCUAAUACAUGCAAGUCGAGCGAACAGAUAAGGAGCUUGCUCCUUUGACGUUAGCGGCGGACGGGUGAGUUACACGUGGAUAACCUACCUAUAAGACUGGGAUAACUUCGGGAAACCGGAGCUAAUACCGGAUAACAUAUUGAACUGCAUGGUUCAAUAGUGAAAGGCGGCUUUGCUGUCACUUAUAGAUGGAUCCGCGCCGUAUUAGCUAGUUGGUAAGGUAACGGCUUACCAAGGCAACGAUACGUAGCCGACCUGAGAGGGUGAUCGGCCACACUGGAACUGAGACACGGUCCAGACUCCUACGGGAGGCAGCAGUAGGGAAUCUUCCGCAAUGGGCGAAAGCCUGACGGAGCAACGCCGCGUGAGUGAUGAAGGUCUUCGGAUCGUAAAACUCUGUUAUCAGGGAAGAACAAAUGUGUAAGUAACUGUGCACAUCUUGACGGUACCUGAUCAGAAAGCCACGGCUAACUACGUG
rnacentral:rRNA from 1 species